CUAAUCCGAGCGACAUUUAUCACACCAGACGCAGAGGCAAUUCUCAAUAUUCCACUUCGUCAGGGUGGCGGGGAGGACUUCCUUGCUUGGGCACAUGAAAGAUCCGGCAUCUAUUUCGUUAAAAAAGCCUACCGAGCUCUAAUGAAUCAGAACGAGCGCUUAGCUCUAGAAGAAGGGCAGGUAGCGGGGCCAUCAACGAAUGAGGAGCAGAUGUGGAGUCACCUAUGGAAACUCAAAGUUGUCACAAAAGUUAGGGUAUUC
rnacentral:rRNA from 1 species